rnacentral:rRNA from 1 species
GACGAACCGUGCGAACGUUGUUCGGAUUCACUGGGCUUAAAGGGCGCGUAGGCGGUCCGCCAAGUCAGGGGUGAAAUCCUGCAGCUUAACUGUAGAAGUGCCUCUGAUACUGGCGGUCUUGAGGGAAAUAGGGGUGUGCGGAACUUCCAGUGGAGCGGUGAAAUGCGUUGAUAUUGGAAGGAACGCCGGAGGCGAAAGCGGCGCACUGGAUUUCUUCUGACGCUGAGGCGCGAAAGCUAGGGGAGCAAACGGG